AUGUCAUCAUUCACCGGCGUAUCCGUCCUCGAAGACAACGUGGGGUCCUAUUGCAGAACAUCGGCCGUCAAGGCCGGCACGGACAGCGGCUACCAUCUCCUUAUGGUCAAUGGCUACUCGCGUACCAAAGAAGAGAAGCCCACCGGCAAGAGCAUCAGCUCUGGCGCUUUUGUGGUAGGAGGAUAUGCUUGGUUACUAGAGUACUACCUCAAUGGCAAGCACCCGAGCUGCGCCGACUUCAUCUCUCUCUACCUAUCCCUUGUCCACGACGAUGGCAAAGUGGAUAGCAAAGUGGACGCCACCUUCAGUUUUUGUCUUGUCGACCAGGUUGAGAAGCAGAUGCCAAUGUACAUCCGUGCAACUAAUAAAGCGACCAGGUUCGAGAGCGCUGGUGAUUAUUCCUGGGGCAUCAAUGAGUUUCUCCGAAGAGAUGCCCUUGAACGAUCGGCGAAUCUGAAGGGCGAUUCUUUCACCAUCCGGUGUGACAUAAUGGUUUGAUCCCGGUGGCCACGACGCCAAGGUGCUCCUGUCUGACAUGGACCAGCAUUUUAACAUUCUCCUAAUCUCCUUCAGACCAAGGUGGGUGCCGAUGUGACAUUCGAGGUUAGUGGCGAGACGUUCACCGCACAUCGUUGUGUGCUUGCAGCCCGGUCUAAAGUCUUCAUGGCACAACUCUUUGGCCCCGUGAAGGAGGGCACUGCUACGCCCGGUGUCAUACAUAUCGAAGACAUGGGAGCAAACGUGUUCAGGACGUUGCUUAGCUUCAUCUACACAGACUCAUGCGCUGAGGAAGAGCAAGAAAUGUCACAAGUUCUGGAAGAAGGACAAGAAGAUGAAACAACAAAGGAUGAUAUUUGGCUGCAACGGCUUCAAGACUUGUUUGUGGCGGCGGACAGGUACGAUCUCCAACGUCUCAAGUGCAUGUGUGAAAUGCAAUUGUCUGAUAACAUAGGUGUGAGCUCGGUGAUGUCCACUCUUGCUCUAGCCGAGCAACACCACUGCCAGGGAUUGAAGGAGACAUGCUUGAAGUUUAUCCAAAUCUAGUCUUCCUCGUGCAUGCAAACAGUAACAACAACUGAUGGCUGGGAUUAUGUUGUUUUGACCUAUCCCUCGGUUUUGAAGGAGCUCUUCGUCAAGCUUGCUUCAAACCAACAAAAGUAA
rnacentral:rRNA from 1 species